CAAGUCGAACGGCAGCACAGAGGAGCUUGCUCCUUGGGUGGCGAGUGGCGGACGGGUGAGGAAUACAUCGGAAUCUACUCUGUCGUGGGGGAUAACGUAGGGAAACUUACGCUAAUACCGCAUACGACCUACGGGUGAAAGCAGGGGAUCUUCGGACCUUGCGCGAUUGAAUGAGCCGAUGUCGGAUUAGCUAGUUGGCGGGGUAAAGGCCCACCAAGGCGACGAUCCGUAGCUGGUCUGAGAGGAUGAUCAGCCACACUGGAACUGAGACACGGUCCAGACUCCUUACGGGAGGCAGCAGUGGGGAAUAUUGGACAAUGGGCGCAAGCCUGAUCCAGCCAUACCGCGUGGGUGAAGAAGGCCUUCGGGUUGUAAAGCCCUUUUGUUGGGAAAGAAAUCCAGCUGGUUAAUACCCGGUUGGGAUGACGGUACCCAAAGAAUAAGCACCGGCUAACUUCGUGCCAGCAGCCGCUGUAAUACGAAGGGUGCAAGCGUUACUCGGAAUUACUGGGCGUAAAGCGUGCGUAGGUGGUCGUUUAAGUCCGUUGUGAAAGCCCUGGGCUCAACCUGGGAACUGCAGUGGAUACUGGGCGACUAGAGU
rnacentral:rRNA from 1 species